GUACACACCGCCCGUCGCUCCUACCGAUUGAAUGAUCCGGUGAAAUCUUGGGAUUGGGAAGCAUACUUGGGGCAACUCAAGCAACUUUCUGAGAACUUGCUUAAACCUUAUCACUUAGAGGAAGGAGAAGUCGUAACAAGGUUUCCGUAGGUGAACCUGCAGAAGGAUCA
rnacentral:rRNA from 1 species